AAAUAAGGGGCUGCCAUCACUCCCUCCCUCUAUAAAAACCCCUCCUUGGCCGGCCACCUCCCCCUUUGCUCUCAUUUUUGCUCUCUCCACUCACACCCACUCCCUCCCCUCCUUCUCCCACGAGCUGCUGCCCCUCCUUGCUUGCAUGGUCGGCCAUGGCCAUGGAAACCUCUCCAAGAUGCAACUCCCUCCUCCCUCAAGCUUUCCCUCACCAUGAGAGCCUCCCUCUCCAUCUUCUCCCCAACCUUAGAUGGUUUAAUCUCCUCUUCUUCUUCCUCCAUUGCUAAGAUUGGAUCUUGAUGCAGGUGCAUGUUGGUCCAAGCAUGGAGAAGCAUGAGCAAUCCUGAGAUCUGAAGUUCUUGAGCAAAAUCCAAAUCGAGUGAUUCAAAGUUCCACAGAUAGAUACGGAAAAGAUCUACAACUUGGCGUUGGUCUCAUCCUCAAAUUCGUUACGGAUUGUCCGUGGUGAAAGCCCUCUUCAAUACCUUCAUUUUGGCGGUGGUUUCACUUCGAUUGACCUCCUGAAACUGAAAUGGUUCACAGAUCAAGAUCUGAUCAGAUCUGACUUUGUCGAAUUAAACCAGGAUCUUGGGAAUGAAUUUUUGAAUGAA